AACAGCUGGAAACGGCUGCUAAUACCCCGUAUGCCGGAAGGUGAAAGGUGCGUAAGUGCCGCCUGGGGUUGAGCUCAUGUCCUAUCAGCUAGUUGGUGGGGUAACGGCCUACCAAGGCUACGACGGGUAGCCGGCCUGAGAGGGUGAACGGCCACACUGGAACUGAGACACGGUCCAGACUCCUACGGGAGGCAGCAGUGGGGAAUUUUGGGCAAUGGGGGGAACCCUGACCCAGCGACGCCGCGUGAGGGAAGACAGCCUUCGGGUUUUAAACCUCUUUUGUACGGGAAGAUAAUGACGGUACUGUACGAAUAAGUCCCGGCUAACUACGUGCCAGCAGCCGCGGUAAUACGUAGGGGACGAGCGUUGUCCGGAAUUACUGGGCGUAAAGGGCGCGCAGGCUGCGUUACAAGUCAGCUGUUAAAUGCAUGGGCUUACCCCAUGAGUGCGGUUGAAACUGUAGUGCUAGAGUACUGUAGAGGCAAGCGGAAUUCCCAGUGUAGCGGUGAAGUGCGUAGAUAUUGGGAGGAACACCGGUGGCGUAGGCGGCUUGCUGGACAGUAACUGACGCUGAGGCGCGAAAGCCAGGGGAGCAAACGGGAUUAGAUACCCCGGUAGUCCUGGCCGUAAACGAUG
rnacentral:rRNA from 1 species